AGGCUGGGGGACUCGGCUCAGGGUUUGGUGUCCAAAGACAGUGGCGCAGGUGGCCAGAGAAACGGGAAAGAGCGCCGGAAAACAGGGGAUGUGGAAUAGAGCCCCUUCUCGGUGGUUUUCCGGCCAAUUUCUUGGCCGGCGCAGGAGGCGCCGAUUUCUUGGCCAGCGACAAUCCUAAUCACAAGGGAGAAGAGGGAUGGAUCGGCUCAGGGUUUGGUGUCCAAAGACGGUGGCGCGGGUGGCCAGAAAAUGGGAAAGAACCCAGGAAAACAGGGGAUGUGGAAUGGAGGCCUGUCUCUGGUUUCCAGUCAACUUCUGGACCGGCCAAUUUCUGGGCCAUCGGCCGUUCCCCGUCGCCGAUUUCUUGGCCGGCGGCAAUCCUAAUGACAAGGGAAGAAGAGGGAUAAAUUGGCUCAGGGUUUUGUGUCCAAAGACGGUGGCGCAGGUGGCCGGAAAAAGGAGAAAGAACGCCUGAAAACAGGGGAUGUAGAAUAGAGCCCCUUCCCGGUGGUUUUCCGGCCAAUUUCUUGGCCGGCGCAGGAGGCGCCGAUUUCUUGGCCAGCGACAAUCCUAAUCACAAGGGAAGAAGAGGGAUGGAUCGGCUCAGGGUUUGGUGUCCAAAGACGGUGGCGCAGGUGGCCAGAAAAUGGGAAAGAACCCAGGAAAACAGGGGAUGUGGAAUGGAGGCCUGUCUCUGGUUUCCAGUCAACUUCUGGACCGGCCAAUUUCUGGGCCAUUGGCCGUUCCCCGUCGCCGAUUUCUUGGCCGGCGACAAUCCUAAUGACAAGGGAAGAAGAGGGAUGGAUUGGCUCAGGGUUUUGUGUCCAAAGACGGUGGCGCAGG
rnacentral:lncRNA from 1 species